rnacentral:rRNA from 1 species
AAUUUUGGACUAUGGGGGAAACCCUGAUGCAGCGAUACCGCGUGUACGAUGAAGGCCUUCGGGUGGUAACGUACUUUGUGCAGAGAAGAAAAGGUAUGUCCUAAUACGGGAUACUGAUUAUCUUAUCUGAUGAAUAAGUACUGGCUUACUACGUUGCAGCAGUCGCGGUAAUACGUAGGGUGCAAGCGAUAAUCGAAAUUACUUGGCGUAAAGCGUGAGAAGGCGGUUAGAAAAGAAGGAUGGGAAAGCCCAGGGCUCAACCUUGGAACUGCAUUUUUAACUGCCGAGCUAGAGGAUGUCAGAGGGGGGUAGAAGUCCACGUGUAGCAGUGAAAUGCGUAGAUAUGUGGAGGAGUACCGAUGGCGAAGGCAGCCCCCUGGGAUAAUACUGACGCUCAGACACGAAAGCGUGGGGAGCAAACAGG